rnacentral:rRNA from 1 species
AUUGAACGCUGGCGGCAUGCCUUACACAUGCAAGUCGAACGGCAGCACGGGGGCAACCCUGGUGGCGAGUGGCGAACGGGUGAGUAAUGCAUCGGAACGUGCCCAGUAGUGGGGGAUAACCCGGCGAAAGCCGGGCUAAUACCGCGUACGACCUAAGAGUGAAAGCGGGGGACCGUAAGGCCUCGCGCUAUUGGAGCGGCCGAUGUCUGAUUAGCUAGUUGGCGGGGUAAGAGCCCACCAAGGCGACGAUCAGUAGCUGGUCUGAGAGGACGACCAGCCACACUGGGACUGAGACACGGCCCAGACUCCUACGGGAGGCAGCAGUGGGGAAUUUUGGACAAUGGGCGCAAGCCUGAUCCAGCCAUGCCGCGUGCGGGAAGAAGGCCUUCGGGUUGUAAACCGCUUUUGGCAGGAACGAAACGGCGCAAGCCAAUACCUUGCGCUAAUGACGGUACCUGCAGAAUAAGCACCGGCUAACUACGUGCCAGCAGCCGCAGUAAUAC